UUGUUCCUACGGGGGGCAGCAGUGGGGGAUAUUGGACAAUGGGGGGAACCCUGAUCCAGCGACGCCGCGUGAGUGAAGAAGUAUUUCGGUAUGUAAAGCUCUGUCAGCAGGGAAGAAAGAAAUGACGGUACCUGACCAAGAAGCCCCGGCUAACUACGUGCCAGCAGCCGCGGUAAUACGUAGGGGGCAAGCGUUAUCCGGAUUCACUGGGCGUAAAGGGAGCGCAGGCGGCAUGGCAAGUCUGAUGUGAAAACCCGGGGCCCAACCCCGG
rnacentral:rRNA from 1 species